AUUGAACGCUGGCGGCAGGCUUAACACAUGCAAGUCGAGCGGAGAGAGGUAGCUUGCUACUGAUCUUAGCGGCGGACGGGUGAGUAAUGCUUAGGAAUCUGCCUAUUAGUGGGGGACAACAUUUCGAAAGGAAUGCUAAUGCCGCAUACGUCCUACGGGAGAAAGCAGGGGAUCUUCGGACCUUGCGCUAAUAGAUGAGCCUAAGUCGGAUUAGCUAGUUGGUGGGGUAAAGGCCUACCAAGGCGACGAUCUGUAGCGGGUCUGAGAGGAUGAUCCGCCACACUGGGACUGAGACACGGCCCAGACUCCUACGGGAGGCAGCAGUGGGGAAUAUUGGACAAUGGGCGCAAGCCUGAUCCAGCCAUGCCGCGUGUGUGAAGAAGGCCUUAUGGUUGUAAAGCACUUUAAGCGAGGAGGAGGCUACUUUAGAUAAUACCUAGAGAUAGUGGACGUUACUCGCAGAAUAAGCACCGGCUAACUCUGUGCCAGCAGCCGCAGUAACAC
rnacentral:rRNA from 1 species